AUUGAACGCUGGCGGCAUGCUUUACACAUGCAAGUCGAACGGCAGCGCGGGGCAACCUGGCGGCGAGUGGCGAACGGGUGAGUAAUAUAUCGGAACGUACCCAAGAGUGGGGGAUAACGUAGCGAAAGUUACGCUAAUACCGCAUACGAUCUAAGGAUGAAAGUGGGGGAUCGCAAGACCUCAUGCUCCUGGAGCGGCCGAUAUCUGAUUAGCUAGUUGGUGAGGUAAAGGCUCACCAAGGCGACGAUCAGUAGCUGGUCUGAGAGGACGACCAGCCACACUGGGACUGAGACACGGCCCAGACUCCUACGGGAGGCAGCAGUGGGGAAUUUUGGACAAUGGGCGCAAGCCUGAUCCAGCAAUGCCGCGUGAGUGAAGAAGGCCUUCGGGUUGUAAAGCUCCUUUGUCAGGGAAGAAACGGCUGAGGAUAAUACCUUCGGCUAAUGACGGUACCUGAAGAAUAAGCACCGGCUAACUACGUGCCAGCCGCCGCCGUAA
rnacentral:rRNA from 1 species